UUCACAGAUUUAAUCAGUUGUGGGUGUUGGUUGUUGAAAUCCCCGGAGGCUGAACUUGUGGAUGCAGAGGAACUAAAGUGAGUUGAGCAUCUUUGAAUUUUGGUUAUCUGUGGAGGUCCUGAAACCAAUCUUCUGUGGGAGGAAUAUCAUCUUUCUCAUUUUACAGAUGAAAACAUAUUGGAGGUUCCUUGACUUGCUCAAGGACACAGAAAAAGUCAAUUACUGAACUGGAGCUCAAAAUCAGUUGUUAUGAUUCCAGAUCCUGGGUCUGGGACUUAGCAAACCACAUCUCUGUCCAAUGAUCACGUGAAGGGAUACAUAAUUUUAUAUUUUGCUCUUUCAUGGAAUGCUCCACAAGAAACUUAUUUCUGCACUGCUUCAG